GGCGGUCGUCGUCGGCGCGGGGGCCGGUUCCUGCCCGGCCGCCGUGCGCUCGAUCCGCGCGGCGGCCG
rnacentral:tRNA from 1 species